AUUGAACGCUGGCGGCAUGCCUUACACAUGCAAGUCGAACGGCAGCACGGGAGCAAUCCUGGUGGCGAGUGGCGAACGGGUGAGUAAUAUAUCGGAACGUGCCCAGUGAUGGGGGAUAGCCCGGCGAAAGCCGGAUUAAUACCGCAUACGACCUACGGGUGAAAGCAGGGGAUCGCAAGACCUUGCGUCAUUGGAGCGGCCGAUAUCAGAUUAGCUUGNGGUGGGGUAAAAGCCUACCAAGGCGACGAUCUGUAGCUGGUCUGAGAGGACGACCAGCCACACUGGGACUGAGACACGGCCCAGACUCCUACGGGAGGCAGCAGUGGGGAAUUUUGGACAAUGGGCGCAAGCCUGAUCCAGCCAUGCCGCGUG
rnacentral:rRNA from 1 species